AGAGUUUGAUCCUGGCUCAGGAUGAACGCUAGCGACAGGCUUAACACAUGCAAGUCGAGGGGCAGCGGGGGAGCAGCAAUGCUCCUGCCGGCGACCGGCGCACGGGUGAGUAACACGUAUGGAACCUGCCCGCAGCAGGGGGAUAAGCGGAAGAAAUUCCGUCUAAUACCGCGUAACACCGCGGAGGGGCAUCCCUCGGCGGUUAAAGAUUCAUCGGCUGCGGAUGGCCAUGCGGCGCAUUAGCUAGUCGGCGGGGUAACGGCCACCGAGGCGACGAUGCGUAGGGGUUCUGAGAGGAAGGUCCCCCACACUGGUACUGAGACACGGACCAGACUCCUACGGGAGGCAGCAGUGAGGAAUAUUGGUCAAUGGCCGGGAGGCUGAACCAGCCAAGUCGCGUGAGGGAAGACGGCCCUACGGGUUGUAAACCUCUUUUGUCAGGGAGCAAGAGGCGGGUCGGGACCUGCUGUGAGAGUACCUGAAGAAAAAGCAUCGGCUAACUCCGUGCCAGCAGCCGCGGUAAUACGGAGGAUGCGAGCGUUAUCCGGAUUUAUUGGGUUUAAAGGGUGCGCAGGCGGAGGCACAAGUCAGCGGUAAAAUCGCGGGGCUCAACCCCGCUCCGCCGUUGAAACUGUGUCCCUUGAGUGCGCGAAGGGUAGGCGGAAUGCGUGGUGUAGCGGUGAAAUGCAUAGAUAUCACGCAGAACUCCGAUCGCGAAGGCAGCCUACCGGCGCGCGACUGACGCUCAUGCACGAAAGCGUGGGUAUCGAACAGGAUUAGAUACCCUGGUAGUCCACGCUGUAAACGAUGGAUACUAGGUGUGCGGGGACUGACCCCCUGCGUGCCGCAGCUAACGCAAUAAGUAUCCCACCUGGGGAGUACGAUCGCAAGGUUGAAACUCAAAGGAAUUGACGGGGGCCCGCACAAGCGGUGGAUUAUGUGGUUUAAUUCGAUGCAACGCGAAGAACCUUACCAGGGCUUGACAUCCUACUAACGAAGUAGAGAUACAUUAGGUACCCUUCGGGGGAAGUAGAGACAGGUGGUGCAUGGUUGUCGUCAGCUCGUGUCGUGAGAUGUUGGGUUAAGUCCCGCAACGAGCGCAACCCUUAUUGUUAGUUGCUACGCAAGAGCACUCUAGCGAGACUGCCGUUGACAAAACGGAGGAAGGUGGGGACGACGUCAAAUCAUCAUGCCCCUUAUGUCCUGGGCUACACACGUAAUACAAUGGCGGUCAAUAGAGGGAUGCAAAACCGUGAGGUGGAGCGAACCCCUAAAAGCCGUCCCAGUUCAGAUCGCAGUCUGCAACCCGACUGCGUGAAGUCGGAAUCGCUAGUAAUCGCGGAUCAGCAUGCCGCGGUGAAUACGUUCCCGGGCCUUGCACUCACCGCCCGUCAAG
rnacentral:rRNA from 1 species